rnacentral:rRNA from 1 species
UACACUUUAAAUCCUUUAACGAGGAUCUAUUGGGGCAAGUCUGGUGCCAGCAGCCGCGGUAAUUCCAGCUCCAAUAGCGUAUAUUAAUGUUGUUGCGGUUAAAAGCUCGUAGUUGGAUCUCGGUUUCGGGCGAGCGGUGCGCCUUGCGGCGUCUACUGUUUGCCCGGACGAUUUUGCUGGUCCGUUCCUGGUUCUCUUAACCGAGUGCCAGGAGUGGCCAGCACGUUUACUUUGAAAAAAUUGGAGUGCUCAAAGCAGGCGCUACAGCCUGAACAUUAGUGCAUGGAAUAAUGGAAUAGGACCUCGGUUCUAUUUCGUUGGCUUUCGGAGUCGAGGUAAUGAUUAAUAGGGACAGACGGGGGCAUUCGUACUGCGACGUUAGAGGUGAAAUUCUUGGAUCGUCGCAAGACGAACUACUGCGAAAGCAUUUGCCAAGAAUGUUUUCAUUAAUCAAUAACGAAAGUUAGAGGUUCGAAGGCGAUCAGAUACCGCCCUAGUUCUAACCAUAAACGAUGUCAACUGGCGAUCCGCUAUCGUUAACUGAAAGACUUAGCGGGCAGCCUCCGGGAAACCAAAGUGUUUGGAUUCUGGGGGGAGUAUGACUGCAAAAUUGAAACUUAAAAGAAUUGACGGAAGGGCACCACCAGGAGUGGAGCCUGCGGCUUAAUUUGACCCAACACGGGAAAUCUCACCAGGCCCGGACACCGUAGGAUUGACAGAUUGAGAGCUCUUUCUUGAUUCGGUGGGUGGUGGUGCAUGGCCGUUCUUAGUUGGUGGAGCGAUUUGUCUGGUUAAUUCCGAUAACGAACGAGACUCUGGCCUACUAACUAGACGUUAGAUCCCUUCGUGGGUCUAUCGCAGCUUCUUAGAGGGACGGGCGGCGUUUAGCCGCACGAGAUUGAGCAAUAACAGGUCUGUGAUGCCCUUAGAUGUUCUGGGCUGCACGCGCGCUACACUGAAGGAAUCAGCGUGUGUUCCCUGCCCGAAAGGGUUGGGAAACCCGUUGAACCUCCUUCGUGAUGGGGAUUGGGGAUUGCAAUUAUUCCCCAUGAACGAGGAAUUCCCAGUAGGCGCGAGUCAUAAGCUCGCGUCGAUUACGUCCCUGCCCUUUGUACACACCGCCCGUCGCUACUACCGAUCGAGUGAUUUAGUGAGGCCUUCGGACUGGUCUUCAGUAUGGCUUUCGGGUCGUGUUGGAGUAUCGGAAAGAUGACCAAACUUGAUUACUUAGAGGAAGUAAAAGUC